CAGGACGGCCCUGCCCUCCUCCCAGAAGCUGGAGCCUUCUCCCGACAGGCAUAGCCACCGUGCACCUGAGGACAUCCAGAUUCUCCACCUGGAGCCGGGGAAGCCCCCGCAGCCACUGGAGCAGGAAGAGCUAGAGCAGCUGCCCCUUCAGACCCCCUACUAUGAUCUGUGCACCUCCCCCUCCUACCGCCCCUCGGGCUCUCACCUAAAGGACGCAGACAUCCACUAUGCAGAGCUGGAGACCUCCGCCCUGGAGCUCGGCUCAGAGUCACGGACCACCGUGUCGGGGCCCAGAGAGGCUGUGGAAUACGCCACCAUCCAGCUGAGCCCACCCUAGCACAGGACCCCUAGCCACCCAGCCCCACCUCCGGACUACAGCCCACUGCCGUGUCAUGAAGAUACCCAAGCAAGCCCAUGAAGACCGCACAUGGAAAGGAAUGAGCCCUCCCAUCAACAGCCAGCACCAACUCGCCAGCCACGUAAGCGCACCACGCCAGAAGCAGAGCGGCAGAGCCAGUGAGGCCCUAGGGGAACCCCAGCCACUGGGCUUUUCAGCUAUGGUUGCAGUAGUCACUGAGCAGAGAAAAGCUUCACCUGCUUGGCUUCCCUGGAUUCCUAACGUACCGUGAAAGAUAACCAAAGUCAUUGGUGCACCAGGCACCCAUGCUGAGAUCAUCUGUUGCGCGGCGGCAGAGAACUAACACAGCUCUGAAGCCCUACCUCUACUGAGAGCAGAGAUCGUUUUCUCUCGCCAAGUAAAGGCAAUCGAGUCGCUUCCCUUUUAAAAGUUAAGUCUCUUUAGGGUCAACAGGCAGUUGGUUCCAGACUCAAAGUUCAACGUCCCUAUUGGGGCUUCUGGUUUUCUCUACCCUUGCUCCUCCCGGGGAUGCCUAAGUCUAUGUAACCCUGAGGGCUAGCUCGCUGUCCGUGGUCCUCAGGCAGCCAUUUCAACCUUUGCCACUAAAGUCGCUGUGGGUGGGGUGACCUGCGAUGACGCAGGUGCUCCUCUCCUGCUAGCCCUGACUUCUCCCACCAGCCCUCCUCUCGCAGGCUGGGGGCACUCUGGAUUUCCUGGAUGCCAGCCACAGGCCAGGAACCAGCAGGGGCAGCAGCGGGAAGGCAUCUCAGGCCCUCUCGUUCUAGAAGGUCCCCUCCUGCUCUGCGUUGUCUAUCCCCUGCCAGUGCACGAUGUUCUGACAGUUCCAAAGGGGCGGGGAUAGAGGGCAUGAAUUGCCUUGGGCAGGGUAGGCUCACCCCAUGGCCUCUAUCACCCCCUGGCAUUCUGGUUCCUAUGUGAAAGCUGGGGGCAGGGGGGACAGACAAGAAGCUCAACUGCUCCUUCUAAACUCUGGCUCUCCACCUUUUUGGGCUCUGCAGCUUCCUAGGAAGGAGUGCUAUCCUGUGUGUUUGGCAACUACCCUCAAGUCCUUGCCCUGUGUUUUCAUUCACACAUUCAUUUAGUCCUUUAUUUCCAGAUGCUCCUUGAUCACUACUCUGUGCCAAGCAUUUGCUUGAUGCCAGAGACACAGAAAAAAACCCACUACUCAUGGAGUGUGCAAUUAAGAGGGACCAACAUACCCAAAUAAUGAUAGUAAAGUCUUGCAUAUAAAGCACAAAAAUCAGUGUGUGCAGGCUUGGAUACAGCAGGAAAGAGGAAAUGAUCACCUCUCCCAGGAAGCCUCAGGACGAGGGAGGCCAGGUCUCCCCAAGCCCACAAAAUGUCAACAGAGCUUCCCCUAGAGAACAGCACCCAAGAUAACCUGGACUAGAGUAGCCACAGUGAAAGAGAGAAGUCACAAGACUGAUUUAAAGAGAGAGAGGCACUGUUACAAGGCACAGCAGUAGGCAAUUCACAGGAGCACAUCUGUAACCUGGGGAAAACCCCAAGAUCCCUUUAAGAGGCUGCUCAGUGUAUUAAAUGAGAUACAUCAAACACUCAACCCGGAGCUUCAUUUGCAGUGAGCUACUAUGUAAGCACAAUGUUAACUACUAUCCCUCAUUAAAGCUUCAAUCUAAUGUCAAAAGCCCCGAAUGAGAAUAAAGGUUCAGUCCUAUAGAUGUUUGCACAUGGAGAAAGGUUAAUUCAAUCGGUGCAUAAGCACCUACCACCUCCCUAAACACCCUAAGGUUAAGUUUUUAAAAUUCAGUGAUCAGCUAAGCCUUCUUGGAAUUUAAAGCUAAACUGUUUCUGUCUUAAGCUCUAGAUCUUGCCAAUCAAAAUCAUUCUGUUCAUAGGCUAUUGUAGCUGCGUCUGCCUCAAGUCGGCAAAUCCAUCCCACAACUCAACUGACUUCUUUGUUCUAGGCUCUAGCUGCUCUCCCUGGAGGCAUGGGUGCCAUUGACGCGGUGGGUACACGGCGCCCUGCCUUGCAUUUCAGCUUAAUAUCUCAAAAACAUUAUUCAGCCUCUUAGGAUACCAGCAGGAUUUAAGGAUGAGGCUUGGGGGAUGGGGCAUGAGAGGAGGAUUAGAUCCAAGGGGCUUGAUUUAUAGAAAGGUUUGUCUUUGGGGGGACUUCUUUGUCCCUCCUAGGAGAAACUAAGCCAGCCUGCGGAACUGUUUCCACUUGGUGGGAAAUAGGAUGGCGUGUAUUAACAGAGUGUCUAUGCUGUGACUGCUCUGUUCUAAAGGGUUCUCCCAAACAGUGAGGCAGUUUUGCUUUUGUGACUUCCGCCCAAAGCACCUCGUGGGGACCUCACCUGAGGGAUGGAGUUUAGAAUGGUCCAGGCUCUCAGGAGGCUACGGUGAGCUCCUUGUGUGAUUCGAAAUUUAGAAAUGUGAGCCCAUACUAGCCCGUUACUUGAACGCAAGCAGGAUUUCUAGCAUUCAAGUAAAUUGAUUCUGCUGGUUGUAUUUCUAUUCCUACCCUUCAUCUUUUCAAAAAAUGCAGUUAAAUUUGAAAGUAGCAGCCUGUCCUUGGCCAUGUUUGGAGAACCAAAGAAAAGAUUUAACUUCAGCCUGAGCUGAAGUUAAAAGAGAAAAGCUGUCCCCUCCCUCUGAGGGGCUGGUCCCCAAGUAGACAGGAAACCCUGGGGAGGAGUCUUGGCUGGUGGGGAAGCCUCAGGAGAUGGGGUGAGGCUGGGUUCCUGAUUCUCCUGAUUUCCCCUGUUCCAAUGGCAGCUCCCUUCCUGCCCCGGGGGACCUAUGAGAGCCCCCCCAUGCCACCCUCUUUUUUUUUAAGGGUGGGGAGGGCAGAGGGAGAGAGAGAGAGAAUCUCAAGCAGACUCCAUGCUGAGCAUAGAGCUCAAGGCAGACCUUGAUCCCAGGAUCCUGAGAUCAUGACCUGGGCAGAAAUCAAGAGUCAGAUGCUGAACUGACUGAGCCACCCAGGCGCCCCCUCCUUGCCCUUCCAACACCCCACCUGUCUCUUGAGCUGGUCUGAGUGGCUUUCUUUCUGUUGGUUCCAAGUCACCAUCCCUGACUAGAAGAAUGUCUUAGCCCAAAGGCACGAUUCUAAGAGUAAGAAUUCUGGGCAGAAAGUGGGGGAAAAAACCACACUUAGACACUCGUGAAGACACUUGUCUUCCUCUCAGCAGGCCAUUCGCUCCUUUGUUCAUUCCACAAAUAUCUAUUAAGUGCUUACUGUGUGCCAGGCACGAGGCAUAAAAACGAAUAAAGACACAGCCCCUGCCCUGCGGAGCUCCCUUCCGGCGGGGAGACAGAUGGGUAAGUGGGUUGCGUGAGCGUUAUGGGGAUAUCAGCAAGAGCCCCAACUCUGGAAUUCCCUCCUCCAAGCCACCCCGUUAAAAUU